GAGCCUGAAUCAGUGUGUGUGUUAGUGGAAGCGUCUGGAAAGGCGCGCGAUACAGGGUGACAGCCCCGUACACAAAAAUGCACAUACUGUGAGCUCGAUGAGUAGGGCGGGACACGUGGUAUCCUGUCUGAAUAUGGGGGGACCAUCCUCCAAGGCUAAAUACUCCUGACUGACCGAUAGUGAACCAGUACCGUGAGGGAAAGGCGAAAAGAACCCCGGCGAGGGGAGUGAAAAAGAACCUGAAACCGUGUACGUACAAGCAGUGGGAGCACGCUUAGGCGUGUGACUGCGUACCUUUUGUAUAAUGGGUCAGCGACUUAUAUUCUGUAGCAAGGUUAACCGAAUAGGGGAGCCGAAGGGAAACCGAGUCUUAACUGGGCGUUAAGUUGCAGGGUAUAGACCCGAAACCCGGUGAUCUAGCCAUGGGCAGGUUGAAGGUUGGGUAACACUAACUGGAGGACCGAACCGACUAAUGUUGAAAAAUUAGCGGAUGACUUGUGGCUGGGGGUGAAAGGCCAAUCAAACCGGGAGAUAGCUGGUUCUCCCCGAAAGCUAUUUAGGUAGCGCCUCGUGAAUUCAUCUCCGGGGGUAGAGCACUGUUUCGGCAAGGGGGUCAUCCCGACUUACCAACCCGAUGCAAACUGCGAAUACCGGAGAAUGUUAUCACGGGAGACACACGGCGGGUGCUAACGUCCGUCGUGAAGAGGGAAACAACCCAGACCGCCAGCUAAGGUCCCAAAGUCAUGGUUAAGUGGGAAACGAUGUGGGAAGGCCCAGACAGCCAGGAUGUUGGCUUAGAAGCAGCCAUCAUUUAAAGAAAGCGUAAUAGCUCACUGGUCGAGUCGGCCUGCGCGGAAGAUGUAACGGGGCUAAACCAUGCACCGAAGCUGCGGCAGCGACGCUGAUGCGUUGUUGGGUA
rnacentral:rRNA from 1 species